UGCCGCGUGUGUGAUGAAGGCCUUCGGGUUGUAAAGCACUUUUGGCGGGAACGAAAAGGACUGUGCCAAUACCACGGUUCGAUGACGGUACCCGCAGAAUAAGCACCGGCUAACUACGUGCCAGCAGCCGCGGUAAUACGUAGGGUGCAAGCGUUAAUCGGAAUUACUGGGCGUAAAGAGUGCGCAGGCGGUUUUGCAAGACCGAUGUGAAAUCCCCGGGCUUAACCUGGGAACUGCAUUGGUGACUGCAAGGCUAGAGUGUGUCAGAGGGAGGUGGAAUUCCGCAUGUAGCAGUGAAAUGCGUAGAUAUGCGGAGGAACACCGAUGGCGAAGGCAGCCUCCUGGGAUAACACUGACGCUCAUGCACGAAAGCGUGGGGAGCAAACAGGAUUAGAUACCCUGGUAGUCCACGCCCUAAACGAUGUCUACUAGUUGUCGGGGAUUAAUUUCCUUGGUAACGCAGCUAACGCGUGAAGUAGACCGCCUGGGGAGUACGGUCGCAAGAUUAAAACUCAAAGG
rnacentral:rRNA from 1 species